GAUGAACGCUGGCGGCGUGCCUAACACAUGCAAGUCGAGCGAGAAGCUUAUGACUGAUACUUCGGUUGAGAGAUUAUGUGGAAAGCGGCGGACGGGUGAGUAACGCGUAGGCAACCUGCCCUUUGCAGAGGGAUAGCCUCGGGAAACCGGGAUUAAAACCUCAUGACACUGUGUGCCCGCAUGGGUAGACGGUCAAAGAUUUAUCGGCAAAGGAUGGGCCUGCGUCUGAUUAGUUAGUUGGUGGGGUAACGGCCUACCAAGGCGACGAUCAGUAGCCGACCUGAGAGGGUGAACGGCCACAUUGGGAACUGAGACACGGUCCAAACUCCUACGGGAGGCAGCAGGUGGGGAAUAUUGCACAAUGGGGGAAACCCUGAUGCAGCGACGCCGCGUGGAGGAAGAAGGUUUUCGGAUU
rnacentral:rRNA from 1 species